GACACAGACACCGGGAGCGGCAGAGGCGGCCCUCUCUUCAUGAUAUCAAGACACCACUGGAAGCUCCAGGUUCAUCUGUUAGCUGAGCCACUCAGUGGAGAGCUUCUCUUUAUAGUGCCGGCAAAAUCCCCAGAGUGACUUCUGACUUGAACCUGCGGUGUGCUUUGAGAGAUCCUCCACCAGAUCAUCUCAGCUUUGGUCCCUUGGAACCACCCACUAGCAGCAGUGAUAAAUUGCAGGGCCAGAGGACUGCUGGUGAUAAAAAUCUGUCGCGACAACUGUGGACGGCUCUGAGAUCCCAGGUGCUGCGUGACUGCUUAUCGUGAGUGGGGUUUUUUUUUAACCUCUCACAUGCGUGGGUUGGAAGUUGUGUAAAUUAUGAUUCAGAAUGCAAAGAUGCUGUAUCCUGGUUAAGCUGUUGUGUGUUUAUAUGUGUUUGGUAUUUGGUAGAUAGAAAAUGCUAGCUUACAUCUGCCUUUAAAGCAUUAUCAUGAAGGAUAUACCCACACAUACGUAUAUUUCCAUUUUUAAUCCUGGAUGAAUUUGUAUGUUACGGAAAAGAAAACCGUGCAACCAUUGUAAUUUUUAAGAAAUUGUGUUCUUUUCUGUGGUGACUCUAAUUAAAUAGAAACCUAAAGAAAUUUACUUAAAAAAACCAAAUAGGAGAAGUGAUAAUGAAAUAACCAGACUUGCUUCCUAGAAAAUAGGCAAUAAGUAUGAGCCCCCCCACCCCCUACUUUCUUAAUCUGCUCAUUUGGCAUGGGAAAUUGAAGAGGAUAUUGUGCAGCAAGUAGGUGGAAGUUUUUUUUUUUAAUUCAGAAAAGAUUAUUUUGAAAUUCUACUAUGGUAUAAUGAGGGCAGCAGCACCUGCAAUAGUGAGUUUCCUGUAAAGGUAGGAACUUUUCUACUUUGUUGAUGUGGGUCUCAAAAGCAUUUCACUGAAUUUUUAGGAAAUUGGCUUUUCGGGAAGGGAAAUCUACUGAUUUAUGAAUUUCUUUGGAAUUUUUCAAAAUAUGCUAAUAGCCCCAGGUGUGAGCCAUCCAAAAUUUGUAGGCAAGGUAGUAUGGCUUGAGCCCUGGUAAUACUUUUUGUCAUGGUUUGUAAACAAGGCAUGGAUAUUAAUCUAAUAUUUACCCUGCCAAAUAGUUUUAUAUGAGGAACAAUGGCAAAAUUAUUAAAGUAAAGAGAAUUCCUGUUGUGGUUCAGUGGGUUAAGAAUCUGACCUAGUAUCUAUGAGGAUGUGGGUUUGAUCCCUGGCCUCGCUCAGUAGUUAAGGAUCUGGCAUGGCGUGGCUGUGGCUAUGGCUGUGGCCGGCAGCUGCAGCUCUGAUUUGACCCCUAGCCUGGGAACUUCCAUAGGCUGAGGGUGUGGCCCUAAAAAGAAAAAAAAAA
rnacentral:lncRNA from 1 species